GACGUAGGAGGCGAGCGUUGUCCGGAUUCAUUGGGCGUAAAGAGCGCGCAGGCGGCUUGGUAAGAUCGGGAUGUGAAAUCCCGAGGCUCAACCUCGGGUCUGCAUCCGAUACUGCCCGGCUAGAGGUAGGUAGGGGAGAUCGGAAUUCCUGGUGUAGCGGUGAAAUGCGCAGACUAGUCAGGAGGAACACCGGUGGCGUAAGG
rnacentral:rRNA from 1 species